UAUGUUGUUACCUCCUAAUUGUGAUUUUAUUUGUUAAAAAAAUGUCAUUGAAGAUCUAGUUGAUGAUAACACAUAUUUUCAUUAUCACAUAGUUGUGUAUAUCUCAAGGUUAUACCGCUUGAAAUUAAAGAAACAGUAAUAUUACAGGCUUAUUUACAGUUUUAGAAUCAAUUAUAACAUGGCUAUCUAUUGUUUGAGAUGCAGAAAAAAUACUCCAACUAGAGGUGCAAGGAUUAUUGUAGUCAGAGACAGAAAUGGGACUCCGCAUCAGACGACAGUUGGUUUUUGUGGAGUAUGUGGAUCUGAAAAACGACAGUUUAUUAACUGAAUGUUGUACUGCACAUUUCUUGAUGGCAACAUGCAUGACAUCUUGGACAAAUGAUUAACAAUCUUCCAAAUUUAUUUCAGUUUAUAAACAUGGUAAAUAAUUUUGAUUAACACACAAGUGUACAUGUAUAUGAUCGUUAUAAUAUAAAACAUAAGUUUAUAA